GACGAACGCUGGCGGCGUGCUUAACACAUGCAAGUCGAACGAUGAAGCCAGCUUGCUGGUGGAUUAGUGGCGAACGGUUGUGUAACACGUGUGUGAUCUGCCCCAAACUUUGGUAUAAGCCUGGGAAACUGGGUCUAAUACCGAAUAUGACCGAUACUCUCAUGGGUUUUGGUGUAAAGCUCCGGCGGUUUGGGAUGGGCCCGAGGCCUAUCAGCUUGUUGGUGGUGUAAUGGCCUACCAAGGCGACGACGGGUAGCCGGCCUGAGAGGGCGACCGGCCACACUGGGACUGAGACACGGACCAGACUACAACGGGAGGCAGCAGUGGGGAAUAUUGCAAAAUGGGCGGAAGCAUGAUGAAGAGACGCCGCGUGAGGGAUGACGGCCUACGGGUUGUAAACCUAUUUAAACAGGGACGAAGAGAAAGUGACGGUACCUGGAGAAGAAGCACCGGCCAACUACGUG
rnacentral:rRNA from 1 species